rnacentral:rRNA from 1 species
AUUGAACGCUGGCGGCAUGCCUUACACAUGCAAGUCGAACGGUAACGGGCCUUCGGGUGCCGACGAGUGGCGAACGGGUGAGUAAUGUACCGGAACGUACCUUUCAGUGGGGGAUAACGUAGCGAAAGUUACGCUAAUACCGCAUAUUCUGUGCGCAGGAAAGCAGGGGAUCGCAAGACCUUGCGCUGAUUGAGCGGCCGAUAUCAGAUUAGCUAGCUGGUGAGGUAACGGCUCACCAAGGCUCAGACGUCUAGGGGGUGUGAGAGCAUGGCCCCCACCACUGGGACUGAGACACUGCCCAGACACCUACGGGUGGCUGCAGUCGAGAAUCUUCGGCAAUGGGCGCAAGCCUGACCGAGCGACGCCACGUGCGGGAUGACGGCCCUCGGGUUGUAAACCGCUGUCGAGGGGGAUGAAGUCACGAAGGGCAAUCCCUUCGUGUUGACAGAGCCCUGGAGGAAGCGCGGGCUAAGUACGUGCCAGCCGCCGCAGUAACAC